rnacentral:rRNA from 1 species
UGAGGAAUAUUGGUCAAUGGACGCAAGUCUGAACCAGCCAAGUAGCGUGCAGGAUGACGGCCCUAUGGGUUGUAAACUGCUUUUAUAUGGGGAUAAAGUGGGGAACGUGUUCCCUUUUGCAGGUACCAUAUGAAUCAGGACCGGCUAAUUCCGUGCCAGCAGCCGCGGUAAUACGGAAGGUUCGGGCGUUAUCCGGAUUUAUUGGGUUUAAAGGGAGCGUAGGCCGUUUGGUAAGCGUGUUGUGAAAUGUAGGAGCUCAACUUCUAGAUUGCAGCGCGAAAUGUCAGACUGGAGUGCGCACAACGUAGGCGGAAUUCAUGGUGUAGCGGUGAAAUGCUUAGAUAUCAUGAAGAACUCCGAUUGCGAAGGCAGCUUACGGGAGCGCAACUGACGCUGAAGCUCGAAGGUGCGGGUAUCGAACAGG